rnacentral:lncRNA from 1 species
GGAAAGCCCAAGCUAACUGACCCAAACGAAUGAAAGCCCAAACUGUUUCAAACUGAUGAAAUAUCAAAUCGUCCAAAUAUCAUUCGAUUGCUCGAAUCGAAUCAGCCACCGGAGAAGAGAACCGAUCGACGAAGCAAAAGAACCUCCAAAUCAGAAACACACAAGAGCGAAUCCAAAGCAGAAACAGCCAAAGAACUGAUCGACGAAGCCAAAGAACCUCCACAAUCACACCGAAGCUUCCCACGAACUGCUUGAACCAGUGGGAAUCCAAAUCGGAAACACAGAACGGCUCUGGAUGCUCGUUGCAGAGUAGCCUCCACAAUACCGAAGCCUAUUCUGAUCUUCAGCCGCCGAUAAGUGACCAGUAAGUGUCGUUUUUUAUUUAUUUUUAUUUUUCGCUUUUAACCAAAAGUACCGCCCAAACCUUUGCACCACCAACGACAAUCCCUCAGAUUUUCAGAAACUCUCAAACCCUAAUUUAGAGAAUUAGGCUCUGAUACCAUGCUAAUUGAUUUGGAAAAAUCUCACCUUCAAGUUUAUUCACCAACCGGUAACACACACACACACACACACAUA